rnacentral:rRNA from 1 species
AUUGAACGCUGGCGGCAGGCCUAACACAUGCAAGUCGGACGGUAGCACAGAGGAGCUUGCUCCUCGGGUGACGAGUGGCGGACGGGUGAGUAAUGUCUGGGGAUCUGCCCGAUAGAGGGGGAUAACCACUGGAAACGGUGGCUAAUACCGCAUAACGUCGCAAGACCAAAGAGGGGGACCUUCGGGCCUCUCACUAUCGGAUGAACCCAGAUGGGAUUAGCUAGUAGGCGGGGUAACGGCCCACCUAGGCGACGCUCCCUAGCUUGUCUGAGAGGAUGACCAGCCGCACUGGAACGGAGACACGGUCCAGACUCCUACGGGAGGCAGCAGUGGGGAAUAUUGCACAAUGGGCGCAAGCCUGAUGCAGCCAUGCCGCGUGUAUGAAGAAGGCCUUCGGGUUGUAAAGUACUUUCAGCGGGGAGGAAGGCGAUGUGGUUAAUAACCGCGUCGAUUGACGUUACCCGCAGAAGAAGCACCGGCUAACUCCGUGCCAGCAGCCGCGGUAA